AAAGAAAGAAAGAAAGAAAGAAGAAAGAGAAAGAGCAAAAUUUAUCCAACUUACAUAAAAUGGAAUCUUUUUUAAAUCUUUACUUUGAAAUGAAGAUGCAGUUUUUAGGAGGUAAUAUUUUCUUCUAAUUAUCAAGAUACUCACAAACACCAGGGGAGAAUUUGAAGCACCAAAAUAGGAAUUGAUAAUAUGAGCUCACCAUGCAUUCAUAAACCUCUCCCCCUGGGUUCCUCUGGAUUCUGCUACCUUGGCUUUUGUCCAAUGAGCUUUUAAAAGCAAAGGGGAAAUGCUGGAGGGUUAAACCUAAGGAUUGACCUGCUACUACCACUCCGUGUUUGACCAAAACUCUCAUUAGGAAACAACAUGGAAUAGUUUUUAGCUGCAAAAAGGCACCCAGGAGAAUGACAGAAAUGUAUUAGGUUAACUGUCGGUGCUGCCUGUAUACCAAAACAAAAACAUCCUGGGAGAGAUAUGAGCUAUGUCAGAAACAGAGUCAGCUAACAACUGUCAGUUGGGAUUGUUGAAUAGCAUUUAAAUGCACUGAGCAGCAUUUGGGAGCAGGUGACUUCCAAGAAGGAUGGGGAAAUGAAAUUUUGUUAGCUUUGAGAAUAGAAAAAGAAUGGAACUUGGUAAUUCUUUUUUUGUAAUGUUUCAGAGAUUUUAUUUCAUUUUUUCUUGCAUGUAAAACCUCAACUCUCACAAAUUUGCAGAGAUAUAAAUAAUGGGCUCUAUCUUCACACAGUGCAGAACAUUUAAUAGGCAAUUUAUGAAUAUUUGUUUUACACAAAAAGGAAAGGAAGAAGAAAGCAAAUGAGGGAAGAAGUAAGGAGGGAGAAUCAAGCCUGAAUUAACUGUUGCUGAGUAAAAGAACUGGGAGCAGAAGUGAGUUCCAUGAGGCUGAGUAUAGGCAUAAGAAUGCUUGCAUGUUAGCCUCAAGCUGUAAGUGGCAGCUGGCUGCAUGGCCUUGGCCAGGUGGUCAGUCAGCACUCGCUAGUAGAAUUUGGCAUUCAAGUUAAGCAGCUGCAAAACGGAAAAGGCCCAGCAGCUUUGUAGAAACAGAGAUACGGGCCAUUUUAUGGUUCCAGGCUUCCAGCCAAUCAUGAUAGGAGAAGGCCCAUGACACCUGUCAGUGCCCACAAUGGAAAGAGCAGAGCUGCUCUACAAUACAGUGCACCAAGCAGGAAAGAGGACAGUCCGGAAAGACCACACUCUCCCCACCCUCAGUUAAAAAGGGGAAUCAUCUGAAUGCAAACAACAAGAGAUGAGCUUGAGACUGGUGGUACACUAGAGAAGAGGACUUGAGAAGCUCUGACUCAGCUCUCUUAGAGGUGAGAAUCCCUGAUGACAGCUGGUAUCUCAAGAGCUCAAAGGAGAUGCCCUGCCAACCUGGAAGAGGGUCCUACAGACUGCUACUAGUUUCUCAAAGAAAUGCCAUGAAGUUGGUUCUAAGAACAUGGAAGAAACCCAGAAGCUAAACCAACAGCUACUACUGAGGUGAGAAGCUAUGGCUGAGAUGAGAUUGACAGGAGCAGUAGACACCUGGAAGAAGCAAAUACCUUCUCCUUCCAACUAUAUUUCAACCUCUUUAGUAACCUCCAUUGACAGACUGAACAGGAAAAUAGAUGGCAAAGAAGAAAUGUAGUUUGCAGAGCCCCCCACAGCACAGAACUGGAAUACAAUACUUAAUAACUGUCACCAUGGACUUAACAACCUUGAACCUGAAGGCCAGCGAAUAUCAAAAGGAUUUAUUGGAAGAGGCUAAUGGUGCUAUAAUUUCAGUUUAUACUCUUAUGAAAAGAGGACAUUUUUGAUGCCUUCCUUACAUAUGUAUGAAUCUGAACGACCACCAUAAUAAAGCCUUUCUCAGUCUAGGUUUAUCUAUAAA